UUUAAGGAGAAAGCGCGCAAAACAAGGCAUGGCGGAUAAUAAAAAUGAUAUUUCGAGAAGGCUGACAGAAGCGAUAGGAAGGGUAAUCAUGCAAACUUUGGGUACAAGAGAGCAGGCAUCAACGGCUGAUGACAUCCCCAGCCAAAACAGUUCUAAUUCUAGUUCUAUUACAGUCCAGCCUGUCCAGCAAAGAAUUCCAGCUCAAACAUAUUUGGAGACAUCAAAUUCAAGUUGUCACCUCAGUGUGACAAGGCAACUGCCUUCACUUUUUGGUGGAGUAACUGGUGGAAAGAAAAGAAAACGAUCUUCUGCAUGCCUUCCUAAAAGAGGAAAAGUUUACACUAAGGAUGUUGUUUGUUUACCACCAACAGAUCAAACCUUCAACAUUCCUAUUCCACGAGGGAAUAAAAGAGCACAUCUUGCAGAAAUGGGCUUGAUAGGGAAAGUUUCCAUUAACUCUGCCUGGGGGGCCGAAGAAGUUGCAAAAGAAAUUUCUAGUGUAUUCUCUAGGGCAUUUAACCUUCAGCCAGGAGAAGUUCUGUCAUAUGAUUAUUUGGGGUAUGUCAUUCAUGAAUAUAAGGUGUUUGCAUUGCUCAUUGUUGUAAUUUUGCUAUUAAGUUAAGUUAUAUGUAACGAAAACAAAACAAUGAAAACAUGUACUUAUUAAAGAUGUGUUUUGAUGUAACAAAGGGGACAAAACAGUUGACUUUCCCACAAAUAUCAAGAUCUUUUGUGUGGAAUGGGCCAGAAGUCAUCUCAAAUUCAUCCCAAGGAUGUCUUUACAUAAUGGCUAAAAUCAAUCCUGUAUCGACUGUUUUCAUCUCAGAUGAUGAUGACUGUGAUGAUCUCAUUGAGGUCGGCCAGCCCUUCUGUUAAUAUCAUUUUCACCUCUUAAAGAAAAGAAGCACAACUUGCAUUUUAUAUGUCCUUUCUAUACCAAGAUAAUUAUCAAUAAACUGACUAUUGAGGAUACUAACUCAUAUGCUGAGAUAUCCAACAUUAAAAUGCACAAAUUUAUGUGCAUAAAGAAAAAAGUAUAUCUCAAAGAAAACAUGAUUUAGAGGAAUACAAUGAUACCUUUCAUGUAAAUCUUGUAUAUUUUCAGUCAUUACUAUCUAAACAAUCAAAUGAAACAUUGACAAGCAUAGCAUCAACCCUAACCUUGAUGGCAAAACAAAUUAUAAAUAUAUACCUUGAGCUGGAAUUCUUUGCUACAGAGAACACAUUGUGUAUAUCACAAUUAUGUUUUGCUCCUUUUAAUCAUGUGAAUUAAAACUUUGAGAAAUAAAAAAAUGUUAACAAA